rnacentral:misc_RNA from 1 species
GUUCGAGCGUCAUUACAACCCUCACGCUCAGCGUGGUAUUGGGCUCGCCCUGUAGGGCCUGCCUCAAAGUCAGUGGCGGCACCGUCUGACCCUAAGCGUAGUAAAACUCAUCGCUUUUGGGCUUCAGGCGGCUGCCUGCCAGCCAACCCCCCACUUUCUAGGUUGACCUCGGAUCAGGUAGGGAUACCCGCUGAACUUAA